rnacentral:lncRNA from 1 species
CAUGAAAUUUUUCUGUUUUACGUAUGGGUUUCUCAAUAUUUUGUUAAAGCUGUAAAUAUUGGGGCUGAGUCAUACUCAACUCAAAGUUUUGAACUUGUUCACCAUAGUUCUUACCCACAUUUUGUUAUGUUUUACGCGCCUUGGUGUGGUCAUUGUAAACGUAUGCAGCCACUAUGGGAUAAAUAUGCUGAUGACAAAGUCUAUUCAAAAGGCAUAAAAGUUGCUAAGGUUGAUUGCACACUUAACACACCUCUUUGUGCAUCAGAAGGUAUAAAAGCGUAUCCAACGUA